GAUGAACGCUAGCGGCAGGCUUAAUACAUGCAAGUCGAGGGGCAGCAUGAUUGUAGCAAUACAAUUGAUGGCGACCGGCAAACGGGUGCGGAACACGUACACAACCUUCCAAUAAGUGGGGAAUAGCCCAGAGAAAUUUGGAUUAAUACCCCGUAACAUAACGAUGUGGCAUCACAUUGUUAUUAUAGAUUUUUCGCUUAUUGAUGGGUGUGCGGCUGAUUAGAUAGUUGGCGGGGUAACGGCCCACCAAGUCUACGAUCAGUAGCUGAUGUGAGAGCCUGACCAGCGACACGGGAAAUGAGACAUGGGCCCGACUCCUACGGGAGGCAGCAGUAAGGAAUAUUGGACAAUGGACGCAAGUCUGAUCCAGCCAUGCCGCGUGAAGGAUUAAGGUCCUCAGGAUUGUAAACUUCUUUUAUAAGGGACGAAAAAAGGCUUUUCUAAGUCGUCUGACGGUACCUUAUGAAUAAGCACCGGCUAACUCCGUGCCAGCAGCCGCAGUAAGAC
rnacentral:rRNA from 1 species